GAUGAACGCUGGCGGCGUGCCUAAUACAUGCAAGUCGAGCGAACAGACGAGGAGCUUGCUCCUCUGACGUUAGCGGCGGACGGGUGAGUAACACGUGGAUAACCUACCUAUAAGACUGGGAUAACUUCGGGAAACCGGAGCUAAUACCGGAUAACAUGUUGAACCGCAUGGUUUAACAGUGAAAGACGGUCUUGCUGUCACUUAUAGAUGGAUCCGCGCCGCAUUAGCUAGUUGGUAAGGUAACGGCUUACCAAGGCAACGAUGCGUAGCCGACCUGAGAGGGUGAUCGGCCACACUGGAACUGAGACACGGUCCAGACUCCUACGGGAGGCAGCAGUAGGGAAUCUUCCGCAAUGGGCGAAAGCCUGACGGAGCAACGCCGCGUGAGUGAAGAAGGUCUUCGGAUCGUAAAACUCUGUUAUUAGGGAAGAACAAAUGUGUAAGUAACUACGCACGUCUUGACGGUACCUAAUCAGAAAGCCACGGCUAACUACGUG
rnacentral:rRNA from 1 species